UAUUGACCAAAAUUUCACGUUCCUUUAGUUUCAAAACAAAGCCCAUCACAGUACUUACGAGAAACAAAGUCUUCCAAAACUCAAGACCAGUAUUUGGAGGCUCCGCAAUUCUGGUAGUCGAUGAAAUCAACAUCAUCAACGACCCACAAGGCAGGGACAGAGUUGAACUCCACCAAGGAUAGGGAAGAUCAGCAACCCCGCCGUUGAUCGUUGCCGAAGAAGGAGAUCAGCCCGUGCUUGUGCCGCCGUUGAUCGUUGCCUAGGAACUCCUUCAGUCGCCGCCGUUAAUCAUUGCCGACUUGCGGCGCUGUUGAUGGCCGUGGUGAGGCGUUUGGCGUGUGAGUGAAGCGGGAGACAGUGGAGAUGGAGACGUGAGCUGAGGGUGAGCUGUGAUCGCGAGGUGAGGAGUGAGUGGUGAGGACUUUUUGUUUGUUUCAUUUACCGAUUUUACAGGCUCCCUUUCCUUGAAAAUUUUUUAUUAUUUAAUACUAAAAUGAAUCUCAGCCAUUGGACCCACUCCACUUAAUCCAACGGUAAUUUUUCAUGCAUGUAUCCGAUAUAUGCAGGUAUUGUAGCAUCAGCCGAUGAAAGUGCAUGAAGCGAGCAGGUGAUGAAGGGACGUUUCAGGCGGUUUCAACUUUCGUGCAUUAUUACUAACAACAAUAGUUAAGAAAGAUUAAUUAUUGUGGGGUGUGUGCUUAUGUAUGUAUAUAUUAGUGAAACAUUUAUUAUAAACAUAAAUUGAUAGUAUACAUAUAUAUUAUCAUGAGACACUAAGGAACGAGUUAGGUCGAGACUUGCCAAAAAUUAAAAAGAAAAAAAAUUAUAACAUUUAUAUUACCAGGCAAGUUCUAAUAGCAUUAAUAUUACACAAGCUAAAGUCAUAGUCAUC
rnacentral:lncRNA from 1 species